rnacentral:rRNA from 1 species
AUGGCGAUGGCGGCUCUCCGAUGCGCCGCCGGAAGGAGGCUCGCCGGUGGCGGCCGCCUUCUACCGCCGGCGCUCAGCCGGCUUCGCCCCGCCGCUCCCGGCUUGGGCCGCCCGAAUCUCACGCUCACGCAGGCCUUGUCAUCGCACGGGAAAGAAGAAGCCGGGAGGGAGGUCCUGGAGCAGAUCCAGGAGAAGAAGGAGAGGCUCUACGACCUCAUCCUGCGCCACGGCUAUAAGCGCAACGACGGCUCCAUGUGUUACUCAAACGUUCAGCUCAUGCACCAUCUCUCGGCGCACAUCAAACCUAGGCCCCAAAGCAUCGCCUGGUACAGUACAUAUUUUCUUUGCCCUUUUUUCUUUCUUUCUUUAUUAGUUAUUCAUGCCAUCUGUUGUUUUUCAUCUUUUAUUUAUAUGACUACUAUGAAUAAAUGUUUGUUGCAUCUCACCUGGACGAUAUAUAGGCGUUACCUUCGGAAAGUUCAUAGCCUCUAUAUUCUCUGGAUGUGCUUAAGCCCUGGCAUAAGCGCCUACGCAAUCUGGAACAUAUAUAAAGCGGGGGGAAACAACUUGGGUGCUGUUCAACAGGGAGGACAAGAAUUGAGUAACAAGAAUUGCAUCGGUUAG